rnacentral:rRNA from 1 species
AUUGAACGCUGGCGGCAGGCUUAACACAUGCAAGUCGAGCGGAGAUGAGGUGCUUGCACCUUAUCUUAGCGGCGGACGGGUGAGUAAUGCUUAGGAAUCUGCCUAUUAGUGGGGGACAACAUUCCGAAAGGAAUGCUAAUACCGCAUACGCCCUACGGGGGAAAGCAGGGGAUCUUCGGACCUUGCGCUAAUUGAUGAGCCUAAGUCGGAUUGGCUAGUUGGUGGGGUAAAGGCCUACCAAGGCGACGAUCUGUAGCGGGUCUGAGAGGAUGAUCCGCCACACUGGGACUGAGACACGGCCCAGACUCCUACGGGAGGUAGCAGUGGGGAAUAUUGGACAAUGGGCGGAAGCCUGAGCCAGCCAUGCCGCGUGUGUGAAGAAGGCCUUUUGGUUGUAAAGCACUUUAAGCGAGGAGGAGGCUACCUGGAUUAAUACUCUAGGAUAGUGGACGUUACUCGCAGAAUAAGCACCGGCUAACUCUGUGCCAGCCGCCGCCGUAAAAC